rnacentral:rRNA from 1 species
ACACGACUACAUUAGAUACCCGCGUAGUCCUAGCCGUAAACGAUACUCGCUAGGUGUCGGCCACGGUGCGACCGUUGUCGGUGCCGUAGGGAAGCCGUGAAGCGAGCCACCUGGGAAGUACGGCCGCAAGGCUGAAACUUAAAGGAAUUGGCGGGGGAGGCACAACAACGGGUGGAGCUUGCGGUUUAAUUGGAUUCAACGCCGGAAAUCUUACCGGGACCGACAGCAACAUGAAGGCCAAGCUGAAGACUUUGCCGGAUUAGCUG